GAUGAACGCUGGCGGCGUGCCUAAUACAUGCAAGUCGAGCGAACAGACGAGGAGCUUGCUCCUCUGACGUUAGCGGCGGACGGGUGAGUAACACGUGGAUAACCUACCUAUAAGACUGGGAUAACUUCGGGAAACCGGAGCUAAUACCGGAUAAUAUAUUGAACCGCAUGGUUCAAUAGUGAAAGACGGUUUUGCUGUCACUUAUAGAUGGAUCCGCGCCGCAUUAGCUAGUUGGUAAGGUAACGGCUUACCAAGGCAACGAUGCGUAGCCGACCUGAGAGGGGGAUGGGCCACACUGGACGUGAGCCACGGUCCGGCCUCCUAGGGGAGGCAGAGGUAGGGAACCUCCGGCAAUGGGGGAAAGCUUGAGGAAGCACCGCGGGGUGGGUGAUGAAGGUCUUCGGGUCGUAAAACGCUGUUAUAGGGGAAGAACAAAUGUGUAGGUAACUAUGCCCGUUUGGAGGGAACCUAUCAAGAAGGCAACGGCAAACAACGU
rnacentral:rRNA from 1 species